GCUGUCUAAAUUCAACUGAGUGUAACAAUGAUAUAAAUAUAUUUCUGUUGACUUGUUUAACAUUAGGAUGUGUUUAUUGUGGACACCAAGAAAGCUGUCUUCGUCUGGAUUGGAUUGGAAACCUCUGUUGCUGAGAGAAAGAAUGCAAUGACUUAUGCCCAUAAAUAUCUACAGAAAACUGACCAUCCACUUCUGAGCGUCACGUGCUUGUCUGAGGGAAAACAUGACAGACAGAUCAGGAUGGCUCUCAGCGCCUAGUUACCCGAAGACAAAGGCCGAGGCUUAUCUAAUCCAUUGAUUAAUAUUUGACAAUGAGAGACGACAGUUUCUGAUUUGAAAGAAACUUUUAAUAUGUUGUUUUGAUAUCAGAUUUAAUCGUAGUUUAAAUGUUUUGACGUAGGUUUUAGCAAUACAUAGUUUUCUAUCCAAUGAGAUGGAUUUCUUAUCCAAAGAUAUAGCUAUAAUCGAGAUUUAGCAAUAUGUAAAGUAUUAUUAUGUAUGGAUUUAUGUUCGGGGUAAAAUUACCACUGAUUGUUGGAAAAACUCAUCUUUGUUUCUCUUUAUCACUUACCUUUUUUUCACUUUAUAUGCUUAAUUAAUAUAUUUUUCAUAUAUACAUGUACAUACAAUUAUCAAUGUUACUUAUAUAAAGGGUAGAUUAUAUGGGUUUGGGGUUUAUGAUUAUUUUUGGAAUUCUUUUUCAUUCCUUUCUUUUUUUUCUAGUUUUAUAGUGCUAUUUUCUUGUGCAAUAAUGCUGCAUAUCGCAGAUCAUCCUCAUAUAGAAAUAAAAGUUAUAGCAUUCGA